rnacentral:rRNA from 1 species
GAUGAACGCUGGCGGCGUGCCUAACACAUGCAAGUCGAACGGAGAUUACGGACGGAAGUUUUCGGAUGGAAGACUGUAAUUCUUAGUGGCGGACGGGUGAGUAACGCGUGGGCAACCUGCCCUAUACAGGGGGAUAGCAGCUGGAAACGGCUGGUAAGACCGCAUAAGUCGGUUAAAUCGCAUGAUUUGAUCGGGAAAUGAGCAAUCAGGUAUAGGAUGGGCCCGCGUCCGAUUAGCCAGUUGGCAGGGUAAAAGCCUACCAAAGCGACGAUCGGUAGCCGGACUGAGAGGGCGGACGGCCACAGUGGGACUGAGACACGGCCCAAACUCCUACGGGAGGCAGCAGUGGGGGAUAUUGCACAAUGGAGGAAACUCUGAUGCAGCGACGCCGCGUGAGUGAAGAAGUAUUUCGGUAUGUAAAGCUCUAUCAGCAGGGAAGAUGAUGACGGUACCUGACUAAGAAGCCCCGGCUAACUACGUG